rnacentral:snRNA from 9 species
AUACUUACCUAGCGUAGAAAUACCGUGAGCAUGCAGGCGGUUUUCCUGGGUGAGGCUGCUCCAUUGCACUGCGGAGUGAUUGAGCCUUGCGAUUAUUUUAAUUUUUUAUAAGUUUCACUUCUACCGUGUGUGACUUGCACACACACACA